AAUUUUAUUUUAAGUAUUUGCACAACUGAUAAUGAUUUAACUGCACUAAAGAAAAGUCAACCAAAAACUCUUUCUAAAAGUUUACUACACACGAAAACUUGAUUCAUGAUUAGAUAGAAUGUCUGAUGGGGCCAGACUAUAUCAUCUUUGCAAGAAAUCAUAAAGUUGGAUGUUGAAAUCAUUUACUUAAGAUUCAGGGAGGCCAAGAAUACCAACCUAGAGAUGUACUAUGGGAAUAUUUAGAUGGCUUUACAAAAAGAACAGCUGAGGACAAAACCUAGUAGCAAACAAACAAGGAAACUCUCAGGUCUGUUGGAUUUGCACAACUAAUUACCUCUUAUAUAUACAAUGAGUACCACGAGCAUGCCUAAUAAGCGGCUCAUUCGACAUGUGAUGAAGUUUUCAUUCCAUUUCCACACUAAUCGCUCUUUAAGGUCAAACACGACAGUAUGAGCAGCUCAAUUAAAUAUAUAAACGAUGCUUCAAGCUAAAAUAAGCUAAAUACUCGGACAUAAUCGAAUGCAAGAACUGGUUUAUGGAAAGACAGAAGUCCAUUUCAUAUAAUAUCAAAUAAGUAAUGACAGAACAACAACAUGACAAAAACUAAAUUCCUUAAUGAGUGUAGAAAGUGUGAAGCUAACUAUAUAUCAAAAAAGGCAAUCAAGCGAAGUAUCCCAAAGUACCUAUUGGCAGCAUGGACUGGAGAUGCAGGAGCAUCAAUAUCCAAUGUAGCUGGGAUCUCCAACAUACUCUGCAAUUUGUUCAAGUUUGACAUUGAGCAAUUCUUGAGUAUCAGAAUCUUGCACAAUCCCAGUCUCUUGGUCCAAAUCCCUCUGAACCAAUUUCCCAUAUACUCCCUUGUGCCUCCCGUAGAGAACAAGGACAGGACCCCCACGCCGUGGUAAAGCAGUCUCAAGAAGAUCCUGAUCUAUUCCCUGUACCAAUUCCUUAGUCUCAUCAAUCGAUAUAUCACAUACAUAAGGUCCAACCACAUCUACCACCUCCCCCUUCUUCAAAUAAAAUCUGCCUCCUUUCAGGUCCUUGCUUAUAAUUCUGACCCGAAUGUGAUUGCUGAGCCAUCGCUUUCUGUCAUCCUUCGCUUGACCGCUGUCUCUCCUCAUACUUUCUCCGCUUUCUCUAGUUGGUUCAAUAAUGCGCUUUCCAUUGUCCCUAUCCUUUGAUUGCUUUCCUUCUAUCUGUAACGUUUUUAACUUCAUUAAGCACUUCUCUUCUUCCUUAGAGCCCAAAUCAGCAAUAUCAGAAACACGCAGUUUUAGUUCCUCCGUUGUUUCUGAAAGUUUGACAACAACCCGACCAUCAUCUAGUCUCUUUGAAAUUCUACCCUUUGAACCCAAAAUGCCUUUUCCACCGGCAAUAACCCUGACAUCUUUACCAACAAAGAAACCAUCACUAUGUCCGUCCUUAACUCUUUCUCUUUUCCUCUCGUCUUGCCCGUCUCUAUCCUUAACACUAGUACUAGUAGCAUUAGAAGCAGGAGGAACAAAACCCAAACCUUCUUUAUCAGUCCUUUUGUGGUAUUGCUUGACUUUAACAUCUUCCUUAGCAUUUCUUCCGAUACCUCUGCCUUCAUGCCAACCAUAGCCAGCCAGUAAAGCCGCGCCAAACCCUUCCACCGGUACAUCCUUAAACUCCUCAAAUCCUCGAUCCUCAGGCAACCGCUGGAGAUCGUACUUCAACUUCUCCAACAACAAAUUCUCAGUAGUUUCGACUUUCUGGUAAGAUUUGACUCCUUCGUCACCAUCGCCACUGUCCCCGUCAGUGCUGCUUUGCUGCCGUAUAUUGAGACCGUAGGACAUACUCUUAUCGUCCUCGCCGUGGCCAUCGGUGGCGAUCUCGAAGCGAAGGCCUUCGUUGUCGGAUUUGAGAGUGGGAAGGAGGUCGAGGUUCUUCAUACGCUUGUGAGGCGUCCAUUCGUUCUCUUUAGGGGGGAUGAUGAGAUUCCGAUUGGAACUGGGUAGGGUUUUUGAGGGAUCAAAUUCAGUGACAUAUUCUUUUACAGCGCCACUGUUUUGGCUAACAGUAUUGGAUUCAGAGGAAGGUUUAGGUUUAGAUGUGGAUUUGGCGGCCGAUUUAGGGAUUGAGAAGGAGAGCUUCAUUGCCUCUAGAAUUUUGGAUGAAAAUUGCAACACCGACGCUUUGGUCUUCCUCCACGCCGCUGCUGCAAUUCUAUGAACCUCCCCCUUUUUGUUUAUAUGACUAUUUAGGCCAAACGUCUUGAGAAAUUUACGAUUCUAACCCUCUGUUUAUAUUAUAUUCACUCCAUCCAAUAAUUUUUUUAUUAUCCUACAAUUAUUAUUCACUUAUUUUUUAAAAAUUAUAAUAAUAUGUAAAUUAAUAAUUAUAACUCUAUUUAAUUUAAAAUAAAUUAUAUUUUAAUUUAUAAAUUUUAAUAUAAUUAAUAAAUUAAUAUUUAUAUUUUUAAAACUGAAUAACUAAAUUUAUUUAUAAUCGGUCUAUUCAAAUUAGAAAUUUUUUUAUCUAUUUUAAUUGUUAAAAUUAUAAAAAAAAACUUUUUAUUAUCUUUUUAAAUAGAUAAAAUAUAUUUAAUCCUUUAAAUUUUAUUAUAAUUAAUAGAUUUGUUUCUAUAUUUUUAAAAACAUACACUUACAUUCUUCUAUAAUUAGUUUAUCUCAUCAGCUAUAAUUUAAACAUUUUUAUUUUUUAUUUUUUAUUUAAAAAAAUACUUAAAUUUCUAUUAAGUUUUAUAUAUAAUAUCUCAUUCAAUUAAUUUUUAAUACUUCUAUUUUUAAUUUUUAUUUAUUAAAAUAUUUCAAUACUUAUAAUUUUAAAAUUUUUAAAAAAUAUUUACUAUUUUAACUAUUUUUAAGUAGUACCAAAUAAAUUUUAAAUAGAUUAUAAAAUUUUAUAAAGAAUAUUUUAGAGAGAAAGUAUACUUUUAAAAAAGUUUAAUUAUUCUAUAAUAGAUGAAACCGUUGUAAUUUUAAAUAGAUUAAAUAUAGAGAAAUUUAAGAAUUUAAUUUUAAAAAUAAAAGAAUGAAUCUGUCAAUCACGUUAAAAUUUAAAAAUUAAAAUAUAUUUUAUACGAUAUAAAAUUAUCAUCUAAUAAUUUUUCACAAUAGUAUUUUAAAUAUUUGUAACGCUUAUUCAUUUUAUUCUCCCUUUAACCGAUUGACAAACUAAAUGAUUGUAUAAAAAUUUAAAUAUUUGAUUUUAAAUAUACAAUUUAAAUAUUUGAUUUUAAAAAUAUAGAAAUUAAUUUAUUAAUUAUAUUAAAAUUAAAAAAAUAAAGUAUAAUUUAUUUUUAAUUUUAUUUUAUUUUUUAAAUUUUUAAAAAAUUAUUUUAAUAUUUAAUAAAUUUUAAUAUAUUUAAAAAGAUAUAAUUAAAAAAAUAAUAAAAAAAGUUAUAUUUCUUAUAAAAAAAUAAAAUAAAUAAAAAUUAUUAUAUAACGGAAAGAAUUGUAUUAUAAACCUAUCAUAUAAAUACUCACCUGCUUAAUUUGGUGUUAAGUGUUUAGAUUCUACUCUACUAAUCUCCAAUUUUUAUUUUUUUUUUAAAAAAAAACCUAUCAUAUAAUAAAUUAAAUUAAUUUUUAUUUUCUAAAAUUUUCAUUAUCAAAUCUAUAUGCGAUUCUCGCAUAUGCAAUUGUCUGACAUUCUUUAUUUUAUUAAUUAAAAAAAUAUAAUAAUAUAAUAUAUCUUUUCUUUUUUUGAUAUUUUAGAUUACAUUGGUAAAAAAAAAUCAUAAACAAAAUUUUCAUAUUGUAGAGAUUGUAAUUUCAAACUCUAUUGCCCAUUUAUUCUUAGGGAAGUUUACAAUUUAGUCUUCAACAAAUCGUUCCUUUCAUCAUCCACUGUUACUCUCUCUUUUCCAUUAAAAACUAAGAUGAAAAGGAGAGAGAAUAUUUUGAAAAUUCAAUUUUAGCCUUUGGCCUUCCUGCGUUUAUUGAAGAACCCACCAUCCACACCUUCCGGCUACCUCCUCAGCUAGUAAAAAAAGAUUACCAGCGACUCUACGAUUACUUCUACUCCUCCGCCGGAUCCCUCCUUGACGAGGCUGAGAAGAUGGGUCUCUCGCGAGAAGAAGCUCGUCACAAUAUCCUUUUUGCCACAUGCUUUAACACCUUCGGAAGCCUUAAGAUCUUUUUCCCGAACAUACUCAAGUGGAUCGGUCAUGCAGGAGUGAAGCUUCAUACCCAAUUAGCCUAAGAGAUCAGAUCAGUCCUUAAAUCCAACGGAGGACAGAUCACGAUGGCUGCUCUGGAACAGAUGCCACUAAUGAAAUCCGCUGUGUACGAAGCAUUCCGUAUCGAACCGCCGGUACCAGCACAGUACGGGAAAGCAAAGCGUGAUUUGGUCAUCGAGAGUCACGACGCAGCUUUUGAAGUAAAAGAAGUUGAAAUGAUAUUCGGGUACCAACCAUUCGCGACGAGAGAUCCGAAAAUAUUCGACAGACCCGAUGAGUACGUUCUGGAUCGAUUCGUCGGCGACGGAGAAAAGUUAUUGAAGCACGUGCUGUGGUCAAACGGACCAGAGACAGAGCAUUCAACGGUGGGAAACAAACAGUGCGCGGGUAAAGAUUUCGUGGUAUUUAUAUCAAGACUUUUCGUGGUUGAAUUAUUUCGACGAUACGAUUCGUUUGAAAUUGAAGUUGGAUCAUCGCCGUUGGGGUCUUCCAUCACCAUUACGUCGUUGAAGAGGGCGAGUUUUUAAGGCGGCUGUGGAAUAGUAAUUAAAGAAAAAAAUUUAUAGGAAAAAUUCGGAGUCGUCUUCACAGAUCUCGACUUCAGCAUCAGUUAAAAUUAAUUAUAAAAAAAAAAAAUCGAAGGAUGUCUCAGCGCAGGCAUGCUUGUAAUAAUUGAACUAAAAUUUGCAGGGGGGCAACGAUGUCGGGGUGGUGAAAGGGAUCUUUGCUUCUAUCAAUUAUAAUUUACAAUCUUCAUGUGCGGUUGAGAUUGAAUGGGAUGUUCUUUAAUUUAUGAAAUGUAAUUUAUGAAAGGUAGCCGGAAGGUGUGGAUGGUGGGUUCUUCAAUAAACGCAGGAAGGCCAAAGGGUAAAAUUAAAUUUUCAAAAUAUUAUUUCUCCUAUUUUAACAGAAAAGAAGCUAAUAGUGAAUGAAAUGAACAAUUUGUUAACGGGAUCGAUUUGUUAACACGUUUUAAUAGAUUUCUAAAAAUACAGGAACUGAAUUGUUAAUAAUGACAAUAAUCAGAAAUUAAAUUAUAAAUUUACAUUAUUUCUAUUUACCUAUGUGAAAGAGGUUUUUAAAAGAAGCCAAUGAAAAACUAACAAGUGGCAUAUUUGUACCAAUUAUUUUUCAUAUUUAAGUUGUAUUUUCAUUUUGUUCUGCAUCCUGAUACGCUCACUCAAGCACAAAGAACAACUCCUCUUUAACCUCAUAUGUACAAGUAGAUGAUGAAAUCUCCUCUUAAUGAAUCUAAACCAAUAUUUGGCAUGUGUGAAAAACAUCUUUUUAAUCAAAGGAAUUACCCCAUUUGAUUGAUCUAAACAUCAGAAAUUUAGAAUAGACUAUCUUUAAGGCUUCCCCCAGCGAGCAAAUUGAAAAAUGAUUCCUCUUUGUUGCCACUGUCCAUUUCAGAUUCUGCAGAAUGAAGACUUGUACCCGUUGUACUAGAAGUUGAGGUUACCGGUCUUUUAACUGAGAUGAAUGCUGCUGUUGAGGGUGCAGGUCUUUUAACCGAGACAAAUGCUACAGAUGCCGAACUCGACCUUGGUGUCAAAGUUUUAGAGCUUGGAGAUGAACUUGAGAUUGGAAGCAUGUCACCUUCUGGUGGGAGUUUUUCAUCUGGAGUUCCUGCAUUAUCUGGGUUAUCUCCCAGGUCAACACCACCUUCAACUUCCUUCCUGUCCACUCCGUCUUUGGCAGGACCCUCAUUCAAGUCCUCAAAGUCAGAAUCAUCUUGUAUCCCGAAAAAAGUAGUAUGAGGGAAUAUAGCAACAAAAUCAUAAAGGCAGCAAAAAUAUUAAGGGAAGGAAAAAAAGAAUGAAGAAUGUAGCAAUCUAAGAUUACAAUGAAGUAGAGUAAAAAAAGGUGCUAAAACAUGUAAAGACAGCGAAUAUAAAUCAUAAGCCCAUGCCUAGAACUUCCCAAAAAUCACUACAGCAAUUGCAUAUAGUUGACAAAUAGCAACCCCUUGACAAAAGACUCACGCCAUAUGCAUCAAGGAUUUUGUUCUCCCCAACUUGUAUGCACGUUGAACAGUUUAAGCAGUUGAUAGGAAAAGGUUGUAUAUUUUCCAAGGUAUUUGUCAUGUUAGCAUAUUGCCAAGGUUCUAAUUUAAGGCAUGUUAAUUAAUGCCUAAUGGCUGAUCUACAUAUUCACUAUUCACAUUUAUAACUAGAUUCUAGAUUCUAGGUAUAAUUGCACUACACCAAGCUCCAGUGAGAGUUAAGGAGUGGGAAAAAAAAAAGAUUUCAUCGUUGUUUGAUUCUGAAAGGAAAUUAGCGACAAUCCCAAUUAAUUAUCAAAGAACAAUUCAUCGUUUGAAUAAAUAAUCAAGAUAUUCAUCAAUAGGAAUUUCUCAAACAAACUGGUGUUGCACUUAAUUAAGCAAAGUCAGGUUAAAGUUUUAAUGAGUGCAUAACUACUGUCUGCAAAAGGCAAUAGUUGAUAUUGAUGAAGAUUAUGCUGCAGUUGUACAGUAAAUAAAGUUGCACGCAAUCACCAAACUACUUGGUCAGUUGGUCCUAAAUCUCCCUCACCCGUUUCUCUUUUCUCUUCAUAUUUAAGCAUACAAAUCACCUCUAGCUAACUAAACGCCUCUACUUUUUCUAGAUAAACGGAACAAAAAUUCAGCUAGAAAUCUAAUCAACAUUUAUGUGAAUGCAUCCAUUUCUGAGAUAUGGUGUCCAAAAAACUGGCGCAAGUGAUCCCUUGGAGUUCCAAAAUGAUGCUAGACACAUCUACUUUAUGCCAUCCGCUCUUCUAUUUAAUCUCAAUCAUAGCUGAGUUCAGCUCCUCUGAAACCAACAGUGGAAAGGCCUCAGUAUUUUUUUCACCCAGUUUUGUGGACUUGGCCAAAAUCUAUAUUCAAGUUACAAUUACAACUUCUAAUGCAUAACCUCUUUUUUGCCUGCAUGAGAACAAGCCACCUAAAAUAGAAUAUUCAUCAAACUUACUUUUGUUAUGUAAAUGCAUAAUACAUGUAAUCCACAUCAAGAUACCUAAGAUCCCAUGGGGAAAAAAAAAAGAUAAGGUAAGAAACAAAAAGAAAAAACUCAGAAUAUCUGGAUUUUUAUUUUAAGUAUUUGCACAACUGAUAAUGAUUUAACAGCACUAAAGAAAAGUCAACCAAAAACUCUUUCUAAAAGUUUACUACACACGAAAACUUGAUUCAUGAUUAGACAAUGUCUGAUGGGACCAGACUAUAUCAUCUUUGCAAGAAAUCAUAAAGUUGGACAUUGAAAUCCUUUACUUAAGAUACAGGGAGGCCAAGAAUAUAUACAUAGAGAUGUACUAUGGGAAUAUUUAGAUGGCAUUACAAAAAGAAGAGCUGAAGACAAAACCUAGUAGCAAACAAACAAGGAAACUCUCAGGUCUGUUGGAUUUGCACAACUAAUUACCUCUUAUAUAUACAAUGAGACCGCAAUCAUGCCUAAUAAGUGGCUCAUUCGACAUGUGAUGAAGUUUUCAUUCCAUUUCCACACUAAUAGCUCUUUAAGGUCAAACAUGACAGUAUGAGCAGUUCAAUAAAAUAUAUAAACGAUGAUUCAAGCUAAAAGAAGCUAAAUACUCAGACAUAAUCGAAUGCAAGAACUGGUUUAUGGAUAGACAGAA
rnacentral:lncRNA from 1 species